rnacentral:rRNA from 1 species
GACGAACGCUGGCGGCGUGCCUAAUACAUGCAAGUCGAGCGAAGCGCCGGAUGGGUGAGUAACGCGUGGGUAACCUGCCCUUAAGUCUGGGAUAUCAUUUGGAAAUAGUUGCUAAUACUGGCAACUAAAGGACGGACCUUCGAUGCAUUAGCUAGUGGGUAAGGUAACGGCUUACCAAGGCGAUUAUGCAUAGCCGAGUUGAGAGACGGAGCGGCCACAUUGGGACUGAGACACGGCCCAAACUCCGACGGGAGGCAGCAGUGGGGAAUAUUGCACAAUGGGCGCAAGCCUGAUGCAGCCAUGCCGCGUGUAUGAAGAAGGCCUUCGGGUUGUAAAGUACUUUCAGCGAGGAGGCGUUACUCGCAGAAGAAGCACCGGCUAACUCCGUGCCAGCAGCCGCGGUAAUAC